GCAGUUGUAUAAGACAACAGCACAAUUACGCAACCCUGAUUUACACCACUAUAAACCCAACAUGACAUGCAUAAAUGGCAUGAUCAAUCGUUCUAUAAAAAAAUGUUAAAAUACACUCACAGUCUCACCUUGUCGUAAUCUUUAGCAGCGUUGUUGAAAUAUUGCUUCAACUGCUCUUCGGUACUGUCUCUAGGCAUUGCCUGUGAUGAAAAUGUGGGGAGUUUAGCGCUCAUGAUUAAGUUGUUAAAUCUAAAAUUUACGCAAUAUAAUAACCAGGGCUCUCAGAA